UCAGAGGGUCGGAUGACUGCUUGCGCCUUACGCGCCAGAGGAAAGUCCGGGCUUCAUGGAAAUAUGGUGCCGGGUAACGCCCGGGAGGCGCGAGCCUACGGAAAGUGCAGCAGAGAGUAGACCGCCUGCCUAGCAGGUAAGGGUGAAAGGGUGCGGUAAGAGCGCACCGCGUGGCUGGCAACAGUUCAUGGCAUGGUAAACCCCACCAGAAGCAAGACCAAAUAGGAACCGUAUGAUAGCGUAUUUCCACGCUGCGGUUCGGGUCGGUCGCACGAGGGACUUGGCAACACGUCCCCUAGAUGAAUAGUCAUCCUCGACAGAACCCGGCUUAUAGACCCUCUGACCUU
rnacentral:RNase_P_RNA from 1 species